UAGGGAAUCUUCGGCAAUGGGGGGAACCCUGACCGAGCAACGCCGCGUGAGUGAAGAAGGUUUUCGGAUCGUAAAGCUCUGUUGUUAAGGAAGAACGAGUGUGAGAAUGGAAAGUUCAUGCUGUGACGGUACUUAACCAGAAAGAGACGGCUAACUACGUGCCAGCAGCCGCGGUAAUACGUAGGUCCCGAGCGUUGUCCGGAUUUAUUGGGCGUAAAGCAAGCGCAGGCGGUUAGAAAAGUCUGAAGUGAAAGGCAGUGGCUCAACCAUUGUAGGCUUUGGAAACUGUUUAACUUGAGUGCAGAAGGGGAGAGUGGAAUUCCAUGUGUAGCGGUGAAAUGCGUAGAUAUAUGGAGGAACACCAGUGGCGAAGGCGACUCUCUGGUCUGUAACUGACGCUGAGGCUCGAAAGCGUGGGUAGCAAACAGG
rnacentral:rRNA from 1 species